CAUCCAUGGUGUCAAUUAGUUAGCUGUAGGCUACAACUUGAGCCCUGAUUUUGUUCAGCCUAUAUUUGUUUACAUUUUGGCAAAUUUGUCCGACUAAAAGUACGCCGAAUUAUCUAGUAAUUUACCAUUGGAUGCACAUACAACUAUCAUUACGUUACUUUGAAACUAAAGAAAACUUAAAAAUGUGAAGAUUAUCAGACAAUUCGGGAGUUAUAAUGAGCGUCUUUUAUUUCUAUGAUUUCUAAACGGAUUUAUGGACGUCAUUUGCGAUGGACAUUGGGGUUACCGUAAAGAACAUCAUCAUCUGCUGCUCCACCAUUAUGCUUCCCACCCACAAUGCGGCUGUGUUCUCUACCCCAGAAUGUUUCACUUCAAAGAAAGCUUCUCACUGGGUCAUUGCUGUUGUGGCUUUGGGAAGUGAGCAGAAGGAAUAAGAUGGACUCAGGAAGAGGAAACACUGCUCUCUGACUUUUUAUCUGAUUGAGCACAAAGAGGACUUUCUUCUUUUGCUUUUUCGUCUUUCUCCUAUUAUCUCUCCACCUGCACACAUGCUCUGUCUUGUGGGAAAACAGACAGAUCAGUUUGUUUCUUGGUACAUUCAGAUCACUUGGAAUUUUAGAUACUGAUGAAAACCACAAAUUAUGCACACUAGGGCUGUGUAUUGGCAAGAAUUUGGCAAUACGAUACGUAUCACAAUACAUGGGUCACGA